GAUCUCCGUUAAACGAUGUCGUGUUGGGCCAAUUUAUUAACACCAUCCUGGACUCUGUCUCUCACUUUCUCUACCUCUUCCACAAUCCCGAUUUGAAGCUCAAACAUUCUCUCUCUCUUCCAAAACCCUCGAUUUUGAAGCUCAAACACACAGACUCUCUCUUUUGCUCGCUCAAUCGAUUGCAGAUUUUGCAUUGUAUGUUAUUUAUCAAUGCUGAUCGAAGCUCAACAAGUCUCGAUUUGAAGCUUAAACACACAGAACUCAACCGCAACAGUUUGCUCUAGCUGUUCUUCAUCGAUCUCGAGGCUAAUCAAGUGAGGACGGGCACCAGAUAGUCCAGACUCCGAUCUCUUUGUCUAUUACUGCAAGCACUGCAGAUCUCAUGUCCUCAUCACUGGUUCGCUUCUCUCUCUCUCUUCGUCUAAUUCAUCUCAAUUCACCUUCACCUACUUCUCUAUUUGAAUAUAUCUAUGUUAUCUACUUACCUAUAUAUACACACAUUUAUAUGCACUAACUUCAUUUCCACACACACACAAAAACUGAACAAUAUUGGAUUAUCAUCUUUGAUUUUGUUAUUUAGAGUGUUUGUCUUUGUGGUUUUUUUUUUUAAAAAAAAAUUAUUUUGGUUUUUAACUUGUUGAGACUGCUAGUGUCUGUGUUUGUGUUCUUCAUCAAAAUCGAUUUGUUCUUCAUCAAAUCGCAAAUCCAAAAUCAAUCUGUUCUUGCUGAUCUCUCUUGCUCUUAUCUCAGCUGAAAAGCUUGAACCAUUGAGUUGGGAUUUGAGGAUUCAAAUAGCUAUAGAUGUAGCAAGGGCAUUGGAAUACCUUCUUGAUGGGGUAGCUGAUUUUGGGCUUUGAUAAAGGCCAUUGAGGCAGUUUCAGAUUUGAAGACCUAUUUGGCUGCAAGGUUUUCGCUCAAGGAAGGCAUGAAUUAACCCCUAAGGUUGCUUAAGAGGUUGGAUUUUCCAGAAAUGAAAUUUAGCUUGUGUUUUAUGGGCUAUGAGGUAUAGUGUUCUGUAUUACUUUUGCAAUAUUUUUUUUUUCUUUCUAUUUCUAUCUUCUAAAACCAUGAGAUUCUAAUUUUUUUUUCUGUUUCUGCCAUACGUUCAUUGAUGUUCUUUUUAAACCUUGUUGCAAGGAGGAGACAGUUGAUUGGUGCUCUGCCCUCUACAAAGAGGGAUGAACACUUGGAUGGAGUGGAAGACAACUGUGUAAUUGAUCCACAGCAUUAGGGAUAUUGUUGAUAACUUGGGAUAUUAGCUCUUUCGAGGA